UGAGCUUUGGGCAAGGCUUAUGCAUACAUUCGAAUUUAGCCCCAGACAUAGCAACAACAUAAGCCUUAGGCGAUGUUUAUAUGAAUUUUUCAAAACUUGUCUUUGUGUUGCAUAGUAACAUAAACCUUGGGCAAGGCUUAAGUGGUGUCGAAAUCGAACCGCCAAAUAUAGUUGCAUCAUUAGCUUGGGGCAAGGUUUACGUGAAUAUUUAUAAACUUGACCCCAUAUGUUACUGGGACUUAAGCUCUUGGGCAAAGUUCCUGCUUAUUUCGUAAAAGAUAGUGCAAGUGUUAACCUUUGGGCAAGACACAUGCUAACCCUUCGGUAAGGCUUAAAUUGUCAGUUUAAGCCGUGGGCAA
rnacentral:lncRNA from 1 species